rnacentral:lncRNA from 1 species
CUUCCUGGAUUCCUGUCUUCUUCCUAGAUCUUGGUCCGCUUUUGACUUAAAACGUAUUUGUCAAACGACAUUUGUGUACUCACUGCUCAAUCGAGGGAGGCCUUAUCCAGCUAUACUCAUUCUCAGAGGCACUGCCUUCUGCACUGGAAAUGGAGUCCUUCAAGGCUACUAUCUGAUUUACUGUGCUGAAUACCCUGAUGGGUGGUACACAGACAUACGGUUUAGCUUGGGUGUCUUCUUAUUUAUUUUGGGAAUGGGAAUAAACAUUCAUAGUGACUAUAUAUUGCGCCAGCUCAGGAAGCCUGGAGAAAUCAGCUACAGGAUUCCACAAGGUGGCUUGUUUACGUAUGUUUCUGGAGCCAAUUUCCUCGGUGAGAUCAUUGAAUGGAUCGGCUAUGCCCUGGCCACUUGGUCCCUCCCAGCACUUGCAUUUGCAUUUUUCUCACUUUGUUUCCUUGGGCUGCGAGCUUUUCACCACCAUAGGUUCUACCUCAAGAUGUUUGAGGACUACCCCAAAUCUCGGAAAGCCCUUAUUCCAUUCAUCUUUUAAAGGAACCAAAUUAAAAAGGAGCAGAGCUCCCACAAUGCUGAUGAAAACUGUCAAGCUGCUGAAACUGUAAUUUUCAUGAUAUAAUAGUCCCGUAUAUAUGUAAUAGUAGGUCUCCUGGCGUUCUGCCAGCUGGCCUGGGGAUUCUGAGUGGUGUCUGCUUAGAGUUUACUCCUACCCUUCCAGGGACCCCUAUCCUGAUCCCCAACUGAAGCUUCAAAAAGCCACUUUUCCAAAUGGCGACAGUUGCUUCUUAGCUAUUGCUCUGAGAAAGUACAAACUUCUCCUAUGUCUUUCACCGGGCAAUCCAAGUACAUGUGGCUUCAUACCCACUCCCUGUCAAUGCAGGACAACUCUGUAAUCAAGAAUUUUUUGACUUGAAGGCAGUACUUAUAGACCUUAUUAAAGGUAUGCAUUUUAUACAUGUAACAGAGUAGCAGAAAUUUAAACUCUGAAGCCACAAAGACCCAGAGCAAACCCACUCCCAAAUGAAAACCCCAGUCAUGGCUUCCUUUUUCUUGGUUAAUUAGGAAAGAUGAGAAAUUAUUAGGUAGACCUUGAAUACAGGAGCCCUCUCCUCAUAGUGCUGAAAAGAUACUGAUGCAUUGACCUCAUUUCAAAUUUGUGCAGUGUCUUAGUUGAUGAGUGCCUCUGUUUUCCAGAAGAUUUCACAAUCCCCGGAAAACUGGUAUGGCUAUUCUUGAAGGCCAGGUUUUAAUAACCACAAACAAAAAGGCAUGAACCUGGGUGGCUUAUGAGAGAGUAGAGAACAACAUGACCCUGGAUGGCUACUAAGAGGAUAGAGAACAGUUUUACAAUAGACAUUGCAAACUCUCAUGUUUUUGGAAACUAGUGGCAAUAUCCAAAUAAUGAGUAGUGUAAAACAAAGAGAAUUAAUGAUGAGGUUACAUGCUGCUUGCCUCCACCAGAUGUCCACAACAAUAUGAAGUACAGCAGAAGCCCCAAGCAACUUUCCUUUCCUGGAGCUUCUUCCUUGUAGUUCUCAGGACCUGUUCAAGAAGGUGUCUCCUAGGGGCAGCCUGAAUGCCUCCCUCAAAGGACCUGCAGGCAGAGACUGAAAAUUGCAGACAGAGGGGCACGUCUGGGCAGAAAACCUGUUUUGUUUGGCUCAGACAUAUAGUUUUUUUUUUUUUUACAAAGUUUCAAAAACUUAAAAAUCAGGAGAUUCCUUCAUAAAACUCUAGCAUUCUAGUUUCAUUUAAAAAGUUGGAGGAUCUGAACAUACAGAGCCCACAUUUCCACACCAGAACUGGAACUACGUAGCUAGUAAGCAUUUGAGUUUGCAAACUCUUGUGAAGGGGUCACCCCAGCAUGAGUGCUGAGAUAUGGACUCUCUAAGGAAGGGGCCGAACGCUUGUAAUUGGAAUACAUGGAAAUAUUUGUCUUCUCAGGCCUAUGUUUGCGGAAUGCAUUGUCAAUAUUUAGCAAACUGUUUUGACAAAUGAGCACCAGUGGUACUAAGCACAGAAACUCACUAUAUAAGUCACAUAGGAAACUUGAAAGGUCUGAGGAUGAUGUAGAUUACUGAAAAAUGCAAAUUGCAAUCAUAUAAAUAAGUGUUUUUGUUGUUCAUUAAAUACCUUUAAAUCAUGGAUGUUAAGCAGUUUUGUUUGAAUUAAAAUAUCCUGGGACUUCUGGAGAUUUUCACAAGGUAUUGGGGUGUGCUUCCCUGUCCCGCCUGUCCCUCAUUCCCAUUCACCCUGUCUGUAGUGUCGUUUCCUUUCUUCUCUUCUCUCUUCAUGAAAUUAGGGGCUGUGUGCUGGAAAUAAAGAAGUAUGACUUAUACAGCCUCUCAGCCACAAUUCAGAACUACAAGGAAGUACAAUAAAGGUGCAGGAAAACGUCAUGAGGUUAGAUGCCACUCCUGGUGCUGAGGAAUACACAGGGGGAAUGAACACACUUGGUGAAGUAAAUCUUCAGGUGUAGCUUGAGCUCUGUGACAUAAAAGACUUCCAGUUCUCUCCAUGACAUUGAAAACUACCUUGCUUAAGUCCUUUAUUUUACUACCAUGUAAAACAUCCAGGCCGGUCCUUGAGAUGAAAUAAAUAUACAAUAAAUGGCAGUACUCAGUCUCAGGACAAAACCGCCAUUUGGCAAUUUCACUUUUUGCCACAAGAGGGCGCUUUCUAAAAUAGUAUUUAGUCCAACCUUGACUUAAUUAGGUCCAACCCCAGUCCUGUUGCCUGAUCGUGGACCUUUCAAGUUAGCAUGAUCGUGGAACUUCUUAAUCUGAAUAUAGGGUAGAGUAGCGUGAACUCUAUGAAAGCUGAAACCUUCCCUUGAUAAUUCAGGUAUUCUCAGUGUUCUAGGGCUGUUGUGUUCAAUGACAGUUUGUCAUUGUUUAGGG